AACUAACGCUGGCGGCGCGUCUUAAACAUGCAAGUCGAACGGAUGUAGCAAUACAUUAGUGGCGAACGGGUGAGUAACACGUAGGUAAUCUACCUCAGAGUCUGGAACAACCUGGUGAAAAUCAGGCUAAUACUGGAUAGUAUCAAGAUGUCGAAUGAUGUUUGAUUAAAGCAUUUAUGCGCUGUGAGAUGAGCCUGCGGCUGAUUAGCUAGUUGGCGGGGUAAAGGCCCACCAAGGCGACGAUCAGUAGCCGGCCUGAGAGGGUGAACGGCCACAUUGGGACUGAGACACGGCCCAGACUCCUACGGGAGGCAGCAGUUAAGAAUCUUGCUUAAUGGGGGAAACCCUGAAGCAGCGACGCCGCGUGAACGAUGAAGGUCUUCGGGUUGUAAAGCUCUUUCGGCCGGGAAAAAUCGCCUCUCCUAAUACGGGGGGUGGAUGAUGGUACCGGGACUAAGAAGCACCGGCUAACUACGUGCCAGCAGCCGCGGUAAGUG
rnacentral:rRNA from 1 species